rnacentral:rRNA from 1 species
GGACGUGAUAAGCUGCGAUAAGCUUCGGGGAGUUGCACGUAAACUUUGAUCCGAAGAUUUCCGAAUGAGGAAACUCACUUAGAGUAAUGUCUAAGUAUCAUUAAGUGAAUACAUAGCUUAAUGAGGGGAACUCAGGGAACUGAAACAUCUAAGUACCUGAAGGAAGAGAAAGAAAUUCGAUUCCGUAAGUAGCGGCGAGCGAACGCGGAUUAGCCCAAACCAAUAAAGUUUUCUUUAUUGGGGUUGCGGACAUAUCAUAACGAAGAGGUAUCGUAAUUGAAGAGGUUUGGAAAGACCCACCACAGAAGGUAAUAGUCCUGUAUGUUAAACGAGAAGACUUUAGAUAUGAUCCAGAGUACCACGGGACACGUGAAACCCUGUGGGAAGCAGGAGGGACCACCCUCCAAGGCUAAAUACUACCUAGUGACCGAUAGCGUAUAGUACCGUGAGGGAAAGGUGAAAAGAACCCCGGGAGGGGAGUGAAAUAGAACCUGAAACCCUGCACUUACAAGCUGUGGAAGCACAUUUCUUGUGUGACCGCGUACUUUUUGUAGAACGGGCCAACGAGUUACGUUAAGUAGCAAGGUUAAGCACUUAAGGUGCGGAGCCGUAGCGAAAGCGAGUUUUAACUGAGCGUUCAGUUACUUGACGUAGACCCGAAACCGGGCGACCUACCCAUGAGCAGGAUGAAGCGAAAGUAAAAUUUCGUGGAGGUCCGAACCCACGAGCGUUGAAAAGCUCGGGGAUGACUUGUGGGUAGCGGUGAAAUUCCAAUCGAGCCCGGAGAUAGCUGGUUCUCCCCGAAAUAGCUUUAGGGCUAGCCUCAAGGUGAGAGAUACGGAGGUAGAGCACUGAAUGUCCUAGGGGGUAUUGCACCUACCGAAGACUAUCAAACUCCGAAUGCCGUCAUCUUAUACUUGGGAGUCAGACUGUGGGUGAUAAGAUUCAUAGUCGAAAGGGCAACAGCCCAGAUCGUCAGCUAAGGUCCCUAAAUGUAAGUUAAGUGGUAAAGGAUGUGGGAUUGCACAGACAACCAGGAUGUUGGCUUAGAAGCAGCCACUCAUUCAAAGAGUGCGUAAUAGCUCACUGGUCGAGUGAUCCUGCGCCGAAGAUUUCCGGGGCUAAAACUUACUACCGAAGCUACGGCAUCAGUAAUGAUGGGUAGGGGAGCUUCCCAUACGGGUUGAAGCAUGACCGUAAGGACAUGUGGACAGUAUGGGAGUGAGAAUGUUGGCAUGAGUAGCGAGAUGUGGGUGAGAAUCCCACAGGCCGUAAACCCAAGGUUUCCAGGGGAAGGUUCGUCCGCCCUGGGUUAGUCGGGACCUAAGCUGAGGCCGAAAGGCGUAGGUGAUGGACAACAGGUUGAUAUUCCUGUACUACCGAUAACCGUUUGAGAGAAGGGAUGACACAGUAGGAUAAGCUAAGCACACUGUUGGUUAUGUGUGCCCAAGCAUUGAGGCAGUCAAAGUAGGCAAAUCCGCUUUGAUAAUGCUGGGAUGUGAUGGGGAGCGAAAUUUAGUAGCGAAGUAGCUGAUUUCACACUGUCAAGAAAAGUCUCUAUCGAGGUUAAAGGUACCCGUACCGCAAACCGACACAGGUGGGUGAGGAGAGUAUCCUAAGGCCAGCGAGAGAACUGUUGUUAAGGAACUCGGCAAAAUGACCCCGUAACUUAGGGAUAAGGGGUGCCACCAUCAGGUGGCCGCAGAGAAUAGGCCCAAGCGACUGUUUACCAAAAACAUAGGUUUCUGCUAAGUCGCAAGACGAUGUAUAGGAGCUGACGCCUGCCCGGUGCUGGAGUGAAAUUGUAAUUCCGGUGAAGAUGCCGGAUACCUGCGACAGGACGGAAAGACCCCAUGGAGCUUUACUGUAGCUUGACAUUGGGUCUUGGUACUACAUGUACAGGAUAGGUGGGAGGCUUUGAAACCAGGACGCCAGUUUUGGCGGAGCCAUCCUUGGGAUACCACCCUUGUAGUACUGGGACUCUAACCAUAGGCCAUGAAUCUGGUCUUGGGACACUGUCAGGUGGGCAGUUUGACUGGGGCGGUCGCCUCCCAAAAGGUAACGGAGGCGCUCAAAGGUUCUCUCAGUACGGUCGGAAAUCGUACGUAGAGUGUAAAGGCAAAAGAGAGCUUGAUUGCAAGACAUACAGGUCGAGCAAGGAUGAAAAUCGGACUUAGUGAUCCGGUGGUUCUGCGUGGAAGGGCCAUCGCUCAACGGAUAAAAGCUACCCUGGGGAUAACAGGCUUAUCUCCCCCAAGAGUCCACAUCGACGGGGAGGUUUGGCACCUCGAUGUCGGCUCAUCACAUCCUGGGGCUGUAGUAGGUCCCAAGGGUUGGGCUGUUCG